rnacentral:rRNA from 1 species
AUUGAACGCUGGCGGAAUGCUUUACACAUGCAAGUCGAACGGCAGCACGGACUUCGGUCUGGUGGCGAGUGGCGAACGGGUGAGUAAUGUAUCGGAACGUGCCCAGUCGUGGGGGAUAACGUUGUGAAAAUUACGCUAAUACCGCAUACGAUCUAUGGAUGAAAGCGGGGGACCGCAUGACCUCGCGCGAUUGGAGCGGCCGAUAUCAGAUUAGGUAGUUGGUGGGGUAAAGGCCCACCAAGCCAACGAUCUGUAGCUGGUCUGAGAGGACGACCAGCCACACUGGAACUGAGACACGGUCCAGACUCCUACGGGAGGCAGCAGUGGGGAAUUUUGGACAAUGGGCGAAAGCCUGAUCCAGCCAUUCCGCGUGCAGGAUGAAGGCCCUCGGGUUGUAAACUGCUUUUGUACAGAACGAAAAGGUUUCUACUAAUACUAGGAGCUCAUGACGGUACUGUAAGAAUAAGCACCGGCUAACUACGUGCCAGCAGCCGCGGUAA